rnacentral:rRNA from 1 species
GGGCCCGCACAAGUAGUGGAGCAUGUGGUUUAAUUCGAAGAUACGCGCAGAACCUUACCAACACUUGACAUGUUCGUCGCGACUCUAAGAGAUUAGAGUUUUCGGUUCGGCCGGACGAAACACAGGUGCUGCAUGGCUGUCGUCAGCUCGUGUCGUGAGAUGUUGGGUUAAGUCCCGCAACGAGCGCAACCCUCACUUUUAGUUGCCAGCACAUUAUGGUGGGGACUCUAAGGAGACUGCCUGGGAUAACUAGGAGGAAGGUGGGGAUGAUGUCAAGUCAGUAUGUCCCUUAUGUCCAGGGCUACACACGUGUUACAAUGGUUGGUACAAUGGGUCGCUAAACCGCGAGGUGGAGCCAAUCCCAAAAACCACCCAGUUCGGAUUGGAGUCUGCAACUCGACUCCAUG